rnacentral:rRNA from 2 species
UGAACGCUAGCUACAGGCUUAACACAUGCAAGUCGAGGGGAAACGACAUCGAAAGCUUGCUUUUGAUGGGCGUCGACCGGCGCACGGGUGAGUAACGCGUAUCCAACCUGCCCAUCACUUGGGGAUAACCUUGCGAAAGUAAGACUAAUACCCAAUGACGUCUCUAGAAGACAUCUGAAAGAGAUUAAAGAUUUAUCGGUGAUGGAUGGGGAUGCGUCUGAUUAGCUUGUUGGCGGGGUAACGGCCCACCAAGGCUACGAUCAGUAGGGGUUCUGAGAGGAAGGUCCCCCACAUUGGAACUGAGACACGGUCCAAACUCCUACGGGAGGCAGCAGUGAGGAAUAUUGGUCAAUGGACGAGAGUCUGAACCAGCCAAGUAGCGUGCAGGAUGACGGCCCUAUGGGUUGUAAACUGCUUUUAUAAGGGAAUAAAGUGAGUCUCGUGAGACUUUUUGCAUGUACCUUAUGAAUAAGGACCGGCUAAUUCCGUGCCAGCAGCCGCGGUAAUACGGAAGGUCCGGGCGUUAUCCGGAUUUAUUGGGUUUAAAGGGAGCGUAGGCCGGAGAUUAAGCGUGUUGUGAAAUGUAGAUGCUCAACAUCUGCACUGCAGCGCGAACUGGUUUCCUUGAGUACGCACAAAGUGGGCGGAAUUCGUGGUGUAGCGGUGAAAUGCUUAGAUAUCACGAAGAACUCCGAUUGCGAAGGCAGCUCACUGGAGCGCAACUGACGCUGAAGCUCGAAAGUGCGGGUAUCGAACAGGAUUAGAUACCCUGGUAGUCCGCACGGUAAACGAUGGAUGCCCGCUGUUGGUCUGAAUAGGUCAGCGGCCAAGCGAAAGCAUUAAGCAUCCCACCCGGGGAGUACGCCGGCAACGGUGCAACUCAAAGGAAUUGACGG